ACAACGAGGCAACGGGGACAUUUCCCGUUAGGAAAGGUUCUCUUUUUAAGAGACUUACCCGUCUGUCUGGCC
rnacentral:sRNA from 1 species